UGCUGAUUAAGCUCUUACUCAUUUAUGUUAAAUGUCUAAUGAAAAGCUCUUUGAAUCUGGUUUAACCCAUAUUAAAUGCCCUAGUGGUGCCCCUGGAAUUAAAAGAGAAGAAGAAAAUUAAUCCUAUUCUUUGUUCCCUUUAUACAUUUUAAUAAAUUAUACUGCAUCUUCCUUAACGCAUUUAUGUCUCAGACAAAAUGCCAAAUGGUUUGAUCCUUUCAACAAAAAGCCAAGGAACAAAUUUGCACAUUAAAAUGUAGAGUGAUUCAACAAUUCAAGGCAUAGUGUUUUCCAGAAGGAAAUGAUGUGUUUUCUAUGUUUCUUAAUAACUCUGCACGAUGAUUUCUGCUUUGUAUUUAAGCAGGGUCUGAUGAAAGUUUGCUAAGUUUUUCUUUCUUUCUUUCUUUCUUUCUUUCUUUCUUUCUUUCUUUCUUUUUUCCACACAGCUCUUGAAUAUCCCUGUAUGUUGAAAACAACAGAAAGUAUGUUGGCUGCUUCUGCUUCAGCAGUGGAGGCCACAGCUCUACCGCAGCUGAAGCAUCUGGCCCUUCAGAGCAUACAAAUCCUGUCCUCAUGCUUUGUCUUACAGGCAAAUAAAAACAUGCUUGUUGCUUAAGUUCACCUGCAAUGAAAACAAAAUACCCAAGAGCUAUUCAAGAGGAAUAACAGACUUGAGCUCCAGCCUGCAUGACUCAUUAGUCUUUAUGGAUUCAACAUCCUAAUCUAAGCGCUGAAGGCCUGAUGGCCCACCCUGAAGGUAGAGUGCUUUCUAAAAGAGCUGAGUAUCACAGGCACAUUGUGGGCAGUGUAAUUAACCUACCCAGGUGAAACUCUCCUUGGGGAGACAUUCACUCUCUGAGUCUUCAAGACUCAAUGAAUUUGGUAGCAGCAGAAAUGGAGGAAGACAUCUUAGUCCUGUUGCUUCAUUUGAGGUUAAACAUAAUUUCCAUGCUUAAUAAGUUGUUUCAGAGGGUAUAGGUUCAACAAAUUAAGUUGAAAACACCU
rnacentral:lncRNA from 1 species